UCCCUGGUGGUCCAGUGGUUAGGAUUCCACACUCUUACUGCUAAGGGCUCAGGUUCAAUUCCUGGUCAGGAAA
rfam:TPA: Bos taurus chromosome 9, whole genome shotgun sequence.